rnacentral:rRNA from 1 species
AUUGAACGCUGGCGGCAGGCCUAACACAUGCAAGUCGAGCGGUAGCACAGAGAGCUUGCUCUCGGGUGACGAGCGGCGGACGGGUGAGUAAUGUCUGGGAAACUGCCUGAUGGAGGGGGAUAACUACUGGAAACGGUAGCUAAUACCGCAUACGUCGCAAGACCAAAGAGGGGGACCUUCGGGCCUCUUGCCAUCAGAUGUGCCCAGAUGGGAUUAGCUAGUAGGUGGGGUAACGGCUCACCUAGGCGACGAUCCCUAGCUGGUCUGAGAGGAUGACCAGCCACACUGGAACUGAGACACGGUCCAGACUCCGACGGGAGGCAGCAGUGGGGAAUAUUGCACAAUGGGCGCAAGCCUGAUGCAGCCAUGCCGCGUGUAUGAAGAAGGCCUUCGGGUUGUAAAGUACUUUCAGCGGGGAGGAAGGCGAUAAGGUUAAUAACCUUGUCGAUUGACGUUACCCGCAGAAGAAGCACCGGCUAACUCCGUGCCAGCAGCCGCCGUAA